AUGUUUUGGAGCCUACCUCCUGCAGUUCCGCCCCUGUCUCCACUUCAUGUCUCUAAAGAAAAAGAAAAAAGAAAAGAAAAAGAAAAAUAUAAUAAGAGGAAAGAAAGGACAAAGCAAGAGAAGUUCAUGUCGACUUGGUACAGAAGUCAUAUCCCUUGGGUGGUUCCAAUGGAAAAACUUGAUGUGUGCUCUGAAGUGAUGUUACUCAUCCAUUGCAUAACCAUCACCUAUAUCAAAGGAGAGCCUUUAUGUACUGGCUAAUACAGUGUGUUAAAUUCACCCCAAACGAACUGGAU
rnacentral:lncRNA from 1 species